rnacentral:lncRNA from 1 species
GGGGCGGCGGCCGCGGGAGGUCAGGGCGCCUGCGGGGCGGGGACUGCGGGCUGUCUUCUCCUGCAGAGCCGCCGGGCCUCCCAGCCAGCCCCGCCUGUGAGGACGCCAGGACCCCGUCGUCCCGUCGCCGGGCGGCCCCGGGAUCCCAAGAUGCCUGCGGUGAAAGCUCUUCCGCAGGAAGCAGCCCAGUGCAGUGUCCCUUGCCUGAGAGGGGAGGUGCCGCCAGCCCCGCCGGGCCAGGCCAGGCCUCCGCAGAGGGCUCCCCUGUGCCUUUGCCUUGUGGAUGCCGAGCUUCUCCGGGAGGAGGGACCCAUGACUCUGGACGUGAUUCCCCACACCUCCCGUUAGCUGCAAUAUCGCUGCUUUGUGAGACGACUGCUUCCGGUGGAGAGGCUGACUCACCCGCCAGCAGGGAGCCCGCUUUGGUCUCAGUAAGAAUUCCCUGGAAGAAUACCAAAUGGCGGAACCUCACGGACUGGACGGACGUGCUGUUGAAAUCCCAACUAGUUAAUGUUUCCUGGGUUUCUUUCUUUCAGAAAGGACAGAACCAAACUAACUAAGGCUUAAUUUUCUCUGACCCUUAAUUUGAACGCAGCUGUUCCUUUGUUUUGACUGAUCCUCCACGGCUUUGACAAGUAGAAAUGGCAAGCCACAGGAGAUACUGGGGGACACGAGGAAGCCGUUUGGUGUAAACCUAAUUCGGCCCGGCUUUGUUUUUCCACAAGGCCUGACGUGGCCGUUGAGCAUGCGCUGUACAUCUGCUUAAGCAUUUGCUGUGUCCCGCAGACAAGAACAAAGGCCCUUAAGAUAAAGGUGCAACUUCCCCCACAUGGCAUUUCCUUAAGGACAAGCAUCUCUCCCUGGGCUGGGAACUGAUUGCUAUGCUCACCUGUGACCACCCAGCUCAGGACAACAGACCUGCCACCCUGCUGUGUCCACCAGGACACCAGACCUACUACCUGCUGUGUCUGUCCAUCGCUGUUCCGACAGAGCGGUCUCAUGACUAUUGGAAAAGGGACAUUUCAAGCACAUGUGAAACAUGCUCUUUGGGUGUAUAUAACCACUCUGUACACCCCACGUCUUCGGUGCCCUUCCUUCCUUGGGGAAGGAAGACUCGGGCCAUGGUCCUCACAUUUUGGCUCAGAAUAAACUCACCCAAAUUUUCAUUUCUAGAUUGGUUAUGGAUUGUUUUUGUUGACAACUUGCUCUUCACAAGGCUAAGGAAGUUGGUCCACACCUUGCCUGGGUCUGUGUGGACACAUCUCCACUAACACACGCACACCCACAUCAGCUCCGUGUGUAAGCACAUGGCAUAAUGUAAAUGUUUCACGUAGAGAAUGUAUUGUGGUAGUUUAAGGUGUGUCCUCUGUCUUCCUGGUCGCACUCUUAGGUAUUCACGCAGUGCGUUACAAUUUAGGUCACGCCGCCUGCCUGCGAUUGGUGCCUCCUGGACGGUGAUUACAGUGGAUCCCUCCCAGGCCAAGGGAGCUGGAGCUUCUCCUAGACUCGCUAGGCUGGUACACCAGCGGGGGUUUCCCGCAAAGCCCCCAUUCAGCAGAAGCAUGGCCUUCGGGAUCAGAUGCUGCCUCAGGAUGUGGGGACAGAGUGCCUGCUGGUGGGCCCUUCCCCCAUCACACUCCAACCCCCCCCGACCCCGGAAUUUUACAGUAUUUCAUGGUGCUGAUUUCUCAUUCUGAUCUUCCGGGGCUGGAGCGGUACCAGCAUGUGACUUGUUCCUCCUCCUAUAUCCAUCUUCCUUCAAGUAGAAAAUCAAGAAAAAGAAAUGCAGUGCCUCAUUACUCAGCCGUUUCGGUUGAGUGUUUUCUGGUGCAGAUAUUCCAGAAGCACAUGUCUUGGCGAGCUCUCUUCAUCUUACAAAACUGAAACUCUGCACCCAUUAAAUGACUUCAUUCUCCCCCACCCCAAGGCCCUGGCAACCACCGUUCUACUGUCUGUCUCUAUGAGUUUGACUACUCUAGGUACAUCAGUGGCAGAGUUCCGUGUUCCCGAUCACGCCGCAGACACACGCUGUGAAGCGGCUGCUGAGUCGGAGCUCCCUCCCCAGCGGUGCUGCGCAUCCCAGCACAAGGGCCUGGGUUCCUCCCGGCCUGCCACCGGAGCUGCCAUGUUGGGAUCUAAACAAGCAAGUGGGGGCAAAGCGUGGUCCGACCUUGGCUCAUGGGUGGCUGAGCCCCAACUUGUCACAGGGUCCUAGCACCUGGCCCACAGCUGGUGCGGCGUCAGCGGGGACUGCUGCGGACUGGUCACUGCCCGCGUGAGUGUCUGCCCCUGAGCACUGCUGGGCUCUCCAGGGGAGGUGCUCACUGGGCUGAGGCGCAAACCUGGGGAGGGAUGGGGGCCUGCGUCACAAAGGCGGCAUCUCCCCACCCAGGAGAGGGCAGUGCUGAGUCAUAGGUGGAGUUUCAGGGGAGGGGAAUGUCGUAGACCUACUGGGGACCGUUUAGCUCUCGCAGAACUUUGGAUGAAAUGGUCCUUUCAGAUUUUGUUCAAGCUCCCUUUCUGUGGACGUCAAAGAGGUGUCUAUGAGGGCCGCCAAGGACCACCCAAGAGGCAACAAUGCUCUCUCCGCCCUUGGUUCUGGUGAUGGAAGCUCAGAUCCUAGGCCACACUGGCUGCCCUGGGUCUCUCUGUCCUUGGAAUGAAUCUUUCCCGUCGACAGUCUCUGGCCAGCCUUUCCUACAGAUGGGCCCAAACGUGUCAGAAUUCCUACUAGGCUCAGGCCUGAACCCCACGUCACCCCUUUAUAAGAAGAAAGCACGUCUGAGGACAGGAAAUCACCACGUGCAGUAAAACCAGCAGUGCUGUCUCCUUUGGGGCCAGUGAGCACUGGCAGAAACAGUCCGGGAUCUGCAGGUGGCCAGAGGGCACUGCACUUUGGGUCUGUUCUGCGGGCUCCGCUGUGAAGAGGGUGCAGAAUCUCUCACUGAGCUGUGAGAGGAUUAGCGUCCUGGCACGUGGUGGACAUUCUGUUCACGGUUGUCACCAGCAGGAGGCGAGGGCUGGCUCCAUGAACCCUAGUCCCCUGGGUCCCAAUAGAGGCAUCGCCAAGGAUUACUUUAAUGUUUUUUUCUCCUGUGAACCCUGUUUUAAAAGCUUUGAUCUUCCUGGUUACAUUUAUUAAUUUGUUUUUUCAUAUUUUAAAAAUUCUAUUUUACUAAAGUUUACUUUCC